CCUCUUAAAAUAAUAACAAAAACACCAAUUUCAAACAUGGAAACUUCGUAGAAAACAAAAACAAACCCAAUUGCACCUUAUUAAAAUCAUCUUCAAAACUUUAUUUUCCUUACACAAAAUACUGUAAUAAAUUAACAACACCACCAUUCAAUCCAAACACCAACACACUCUCUCAUAAUUAAUCACAAUGCUUCCAUUUCAGUGUCGCCGUCGCCGCCGUCACAAAUCCGAAAUGACUUACCUCACCAUCCUCAUCAGCAUUCUCUUCCUCUUCCCGGCGACAACCUCUCAAACUCAACCAGAAACUUACACUUUCGAAACCUUCAAUUCCACACACAACAACGUACUCGAUGUUAUACCCUCCGCAUCAAUCAACAACGGAGCUUUACAAGUCACCCCAGACAGCGCCGGAAGCUCAAUGGUCGUCACUCUCCACAACAACUCCGGCAGAAUCUUCUUCAAAACCCCUUUCAAACUCUGGGAAUCAUCAUCCGGAAAACUCGUUUCCUUCAACACCUCUUUCCUCAUCAACGUCUUUCGUCCCAACAACGAAAUUCCUCCCGGCGAAGGUCUAGCUUUCAUCAUCGCACCGUCUCUUACAAUUCCUCUCAACAGCUUCGGCGGUUACCUUGGUUUAACAAACGCAACAACUGACGGUAACGUAACUAACCGUUUCGUCGCCGUUGAACUUGACACCGUUAAACAAGAUUUCGAUAUUAACAACAAUCACAUCGGACUCGACAUAAACAGUGUUCGUUCCAAUGUUUCUGUUCCUCUUAAAUUCGAAAUAGCUCCUAAUGGAACUAAGUUUUAUGUUUUGUGGAUUGAAUACGACGGUGAUCGGAGAAAUAUUGAUGUUUACAUGGCGGAGCAACCUUCCAGGGAUUUACCUAUAGUGAAAAAACCGGUUAAACCGGUUUUAAAUUCGAGUUUGGAUCUAAAACAAUUUCUGAACCGGGAAUCUUAUUUUGGGUUUUCUGCUUCAACCGGAAAUAAUGUUGAGUUAAAUUGUAUACUUAAAUGGAAUAUUUCAAUUCAGGUUUUUGAUGAGGAGAAGGGUAAAAAUGGAAAAACAUUGGCUAUUGGAUUAGGUGUUGGGAUUCCUCUAUUAAUUAUUUUAAUUGGUGGAUUUGGGUGGUAUUAUUAUUUGAUUAAGAAGAAGAAGAAGAGUGAAGAUUAUGGUUCUAAUUCACAGAUUAUGGGUACAUUGAAGAGUUUACCAGGGACACCAAGAGAGUUUAAUUAUCAGGAAUUGAAAAAAGCUACUAAUAAUUUUGAUGAGAAAUUUAAACUUGGUGAAGGUGGAUACGGUGUCGUUUAUAGAGGUAUAUUGCCUAAGGAGAAAUUACAAGUUGCUGUUAAGAAAUUUUCUAGAGAUAAGAUGAAAAGUACUGAUGAUUUCUUGGCUGAACUUACUAUUAUCAAUCGUCUUCGUCAUAAACAUCUUGUUAAGUUACAAGGAUGGUGCCACAAAAAUGGAGUAUUGCUCUUGGUAUACGAUUACAUGCCUAAUGGAAGUUUAGACGACCACAUAUUUUGUGAGGAAGGAACAAGCAGAACCCCGCUAAGUUGGCCUUUAAGGUACAAAAUACUAUCAGGUGUCGCUUCUGCAUUGAAUUAUCUCCACAACGAGUAUGAUCAAACAGUCGUUCACAGAGACCUUAAAGCAAGCAACAUAAUGCUAGACUCAGAUUUCAACGCUCGUUUAGGAGAUUUCGGGUUAGCACGUGCACUAGAGAAUGAAAAAACAUCCUAUGCAGAAUUAGAAGGAGUACAAGGUACAAUGGGAUACAUAGCACCAGAAUGUUUCCACACAGGAAAAGCAACAAGAGAAUCAGAUGUUUAUGGAUUCGGUGCUGUGUUACUUGAAACCGUGUGUGGUCAAAGACCAUGGACUAAAAUCGAAGGGUACCAAUUUUUGGUUGAUUGGGUUUGGUAUUUGCAUCGCGAAGGAAGAAUAUUGGAAGCUGUUGAUAAAAGUGUUGGCAAUGAAUAUGAUGUUGAAGAGGUAGAGAGAAUAUUGAAACUUGGAUUGAUUUGUUCUCAUCCUGUUGCUGGCGAGAGACCAAAUUUGCAAACAAUUGUUCAGAUUUUAUCUGGUUCGGUUAAUGUUCCUUAUGUGCCGCCUUUUAAACCGUCUUUUAUGUGGCCCGCUGUGGAUUUAGCUAGUCUUGCAAGUACUGAUUUUACAGGAGGAACAACUACUAGUGAGUAUACACCAAUGACUAGUAACAAUACACAAUCUUCUUUGCGCGUUGAAUUCUCAGAUAAUGGUUCUAUGGUCUAAGACUAAGACUAAUAUCUUUUUCUUUUUGUUUGUAUGUUGAUUAGCAUUUCUUGAUUUUCUUCCUCUGAGAAACAGGAAGAAAAUUUGUUCAGACUUUUUUAUUUUGUUGUAAAAUUUUAAUUUAACUUGAUUUUUAAGUGAUUACUAAGUGUAGAUUCUUUUUUCUUCUAUUUUUUUUUUUUUUAUUGGAAAGGAAUGGAAUCAAUGUGCAUCAAACAAUGUAUAAAAUUUUGAUGAAGUAUGUUAUUAUGUUUUGUUUUGCACUCUUUUGUUCUUGCAUGUGAUUAGAGAUUCUUAUAUAAUUUACAAAGCUGUUAGCUUAGAUGACAAUAUUCUAAACAAAAUUGGGUUCCACAUUGAUAUAAAUUAUACAACUUGUUAAAGUUGCCCCCACAGGCACAAGUGAAAUCAGUAGAAAUUGCCAAUCAAGUCCAUAAACACUACUACAAAACACCACAUCACGUGUAAAGGCUAGCAAGGAGAAAAAGAUUUCCACGCCAAAUCAGUAGCCAAGGAAAAAGCCAAAUAAGUUAGUCAAACAAAUGAGUGGAAUCCAAGGUAUCAUCCUUGACACUUUACCAUUAAAAACAAAACACUUUCAAAACCAAAAAAACUAAAGAGCCAUAGUAUUAAGGAUGAUACAUUCAAGCUGACAGUAGACACUACCCCAUAAUUUCAUCAAGAAAUUUAGUUUUGAUUCAUUUAUGUGGAUUUCUUUUUUUUUCUCUCUUCGUUUUAUGCUUUCAGGAUCUUCCCACUGACCUUAAGCAGAGAAACGAACUAAAGAAGAUUUGCUCAUCAAGUCUUGCCUCUGAAUUUCCUCAGGAUUGUAGAUGUUAUCCAGCUGAUAAACAGGAUGAUCUGCACAAGUUUUUGUGUCUCUUUAAAGAGCAAAGGCUUAAAAUUCCUCAUUGGAGAACUCAUCGAUCCUACCUCAUGGCUCGUAAGGUUUUCACAUAGCUCCACACUAUGAUGGGAUUUGUGGCCUAUGGUUAUGAAUUUAAUUGAUGAAUCCAAAGUGCUUGUUUUAAGUUCUUUUCAGAUACAAAUCUGAGGGUGAUAAACUUUCAUCAUCUUACAAUCUUUCUUGCGAUGUAGAACUGCACAUCAUGGAAAAUGUUGUACAAGUUGUAAUAGGGAUCGAUGGUUGUGUGUGGAUUAAAAUUGCAUAAGAUUUCGGAUGUAUUAAUUUAUUUAUUUUUGAUAAA